UGCAUCGGCCGGGAAUCGAACCCGGGACGCCCGCGUGUCAGGCGAGCAUUCUACCACUGAACCACCGAUGG
rnacentral:tRNA from 1 species